AUUGAACGCUGGCGGCAGGCCUAACACAUGCAAGUCGAGCGGAUGAAGGGAGCUUGCUCCUGGAUUCCGCGGCGGACGGGUGAGUAAUGCCUAGGAAUCUGCCUGGUAGUGGGGGAUAACGUCCGGAAACGGGCGCUAAUACCGCAUACGUCAUGAGGGAGAAAGUGGGGGAUCUUCGGACCUCACGCUAUCAGAUGAGCCUAGGUCGGAUUAGCUAGUUGGUGGGGUAAAGGCCUACCAAGGCGACGAUCCGUAACUGGUCUGAGAGGAUGAUCAGUCACACUGGAACUGAGACACGGUCCAGACUCCUACGGGAGGCAGCAGUGGGGAAUAUUGGACAAUGGGCGAAAGCCUGAUCCAGCCAUGCCGCGUGUGUGAAGAAGGUCUUCGGAUUGUAAAGCACUUUAAGUUGGGAGGAAGGGCAGUAAGUUAAUACCUUGCUGUUUUGACGUUACCAACAGAAUAAGCACCGGCUAACUUCGUG
rnacentral:rRNA from 1 species